rnacentral:rRNA from 1 species
GACGAACGCUGGCGGCGUGCCUAAUACAUGCAAGUAGAACGCUGAAGAGAGGAGCUUGCUCUUCUUGGAUGAGUUGCGAACGGGUGAGUAACGCGUAGGUAACCUGCCUUGUAGCGGGGGAUAACUAUUGGAAACGAUAGCUAAUACCGCAUAACAAUGGAUGACACAUGUCAUUUAUUUGAAAGGGGCAAUUGCUCCACUACAAGAUGGACCUGCGUUGUAUUAGCUAGUAGGUGAGGUAAUGGCUCACCUAGGCGACGAUACAUAGCCGACCUGAGAGGGUGAUCGGCCACACUGGGACGGAGACACGGCCCAGACUCCUACGGGAGGCAGCAGUAGGGAAUCUUCGGCAAUGGGGGCAACCCUGACCGAGCAACGCCGCGUGAGUGAAGAAGGUUUUCGGAUCGUAAAGCUCGGUUGUAAGUCAAGAACGGGUGUGAGAGUGGAAAGUUCACACUGUGACGGUAGCUUACCAGAAAGGGACGGCUAACUACGUG